CAAUAGCGUAUAUUAAAGUUGUUGCGGUUAAAAGCUCGUAGUUGGAUUUCUGCUGAGGACGACCGGUCCGCCCUCUGGGUGAGCAUCUGGUUCGGCCUUGCAUCUUCGUUGGUGAACGUAUCUGCACUUGACUGUGUGGUGCGGUGCCCAGGACUUUUACUUUGAGGAAAUUAGAGUGUUUCAAGCAGGCAUACGCCUUGAAUACAUUAGCAUGGAAUAAUAAGAUAGGACCUCGGUUCUAUUUUGUUGGUUUCUAGAGCUGAGGUAAUGAUUAAUAGGGAUAGUUGGGGCGAUUCGUAUUUAACUGUCAGAGGUGAAAUUCUUGGAUUUGUUAAAGACGGACUACUGC
rnacentral:rRNA from 1 species